CUGGCCAGCGGAACGUAAGUAGAAAUGAUGUACGCCACUUCUAGGCCUGGCCCCUAAAACCUCGGGCAGGGUCCUCCACACGCCUUCUCUCCUGACUGCCGGCAGAUUCCGGGCAAUUUGGGAGCCAUAUGCUGGAGAGGAGCAUCCACCAGCCUGAGUCUCUAACAACCACCUGUUGAUGGCCCCCAACUCUCAACCAGAUGCGACAUGAGACUCCCUGUUCAAGUGACUGAGGUCCUGUGGCAGUCAACCAUGGAGGUGUUCCACUGGGAUCUCUUUUUCAAGAAAGAACUUGACCAGUAUUUCUGUGCGGCUGUCCAAAUUUUCCAUCCUGGCUGUGGUACCAGUCCAAUGUACUCCAAGUGUCAGGGAGGCACCCGACUCCACUCCGCCCAAGGAUAGGGCCGAGGGGGCGGCUGGGGCCCUGGGCGGUGAAGGAGCAAUGCGCAGAGGCCAGGACGACCCAACGACCUGCAGCAUGGCACCCAGCUCCGGAAAAGGUGGAAAAGGUCACUCGGACAAGUCACUUCACCUCUAAGAGCCUCAAAGUCCUCAUUCAAAUUAAAAUUCAAGUAUUACACCUUUGUAAAACGUUUACAGUUCUGACUCUCCCACUGAAACACAUACCUGUCACCUGCCCCCACCCCGCCCCCCAGGACUCGAGAGUCAGGUCAACCAUCUCUUUGCUAUCAGCCAAGAUGCCAUUUUUCAGGCAAAACUAAAUCCCAUUUGCUUCACGUGACAGUCCAGAAAUGGUUCGUUUUGUUUUUAAAAGCAACCCUGGUUAUGGGCAUCUAACUCUGCUGCGGGCCGGCAUGAGCUACCAGAGGACGAAAACUACGGCCCAGCUGACUCCACGAAGCUCCCUCAGGACUGAGGAAGUAAAAACGGGAUAACCAG